rnacentral:rRNA from 1 species
UGGUGCGGUCAUACCAGCGCUACUACACCAGAUCCCAUCAGAACUCAGAAGUUAAGCGCCUUUGGGCCGGAAUAGUANUAGGUCACCCAUCCCAGUACUGCAGGAAGUCGUCUGCAAAGGAUUC